AUGAUAGAGGUGCAGGUUUCAAGAGUAUUUCCGCGAAAAAGGGCCGGGCGGCCGCCGGAGAGAAAGGGGAAACUGCCGAAGGGAUGGAUACCCGCCCGGGUGUCUGUUUCUGGGACGCCGCAUAAGAUGCGUCGUACUGUCACUGGAAGUGGAGCGCUAUC
rnacentral:ncRNA from 1 species